AUUACCCAAUACGGACACGGGGAGGUAGUGACAAGAAAUAACAAUACAGGGCAAUUGUCUUGUAAUUGGAAUGAUGGUGACGUAAAAUCUCACCAGAGUAACAAUUGGAGGGCAAGUCUGGUGCCAGCAGCCGCGGUAAUUCCAGCUCCAAUAGCGUAUAUUAAACUUGUUGCAGUUAAAAAGCUCGUAGUUGAAUUCCUGCGUUGCCCGACUCGGCUACUUGCCUUGUCUGGUUUCGCUUUUGGGGUUUUCCCCUUUUUACUUUGAGAAAAUUAGAGUGUUUCGAGCAGACUUGUGUCUUGAAUACUUCAGCAUGGAAUAAUAAAGUAGGACUUUGGUUCUAUUUUGUUGGUUUGUGAACCUUAGUAAUGGUUAAUAGGAACGGUUGGGGGCAUUCGUAUUUAA
rnacentral:rRNA from 1 species